rnacentral:rRNA from 1 species
UACGUAGGUGGCAAGCGUUGUCCGGAAUUAUUGGGCGUAGAGCGCGCGCAGGCGGUUCUUUAAGUCUGAUGUGAAAGCCCACGGCUCAACCGUGGAGGGUCAUUGGAAACUGGAGAACUUGAGUACAGAAGAGGAAAGCGGAAUUCCACGUGUAGCGGUGAAAUGCGUAGAGAUGUGGAGGAACACCAGUGGCGAAGGCGGCUUUCUGGUCUGUAACUGACGCUGAGGCGCGAAAGCGUGGGGAGCAAACAGG